rnacentral:lncRNA from 1 species
GUAAGGACUUGGAAGCAGGCUGUAAAUCCCGUGAGCUCCACCCAGGACCACAUCUGCAAGUAAAAAGUCAUUUGGUGAAAAGGUGAUGCUGACGCUUGGGAAUGCCAAGCCCUUUCCUCGCGGAUGCCCGUGGUAUAGGGAUUCUUCGUUCAUCAGGAAGGCAUAGAUCUGCCUUUCUCCCCUAGAACAGUGGGACUCACCGGAGGGUUUGUACCCGUGGGCGGUGGGCCUGCAAGGUGCCAGGAGCAGCACGUCACUGUUCUGACCUGGUGUUCUUGUGAGGAGGGGCACAGUGGCCCCUCACGGCCAGGGCAGGAGGGUACAGGAUCCCACCCAGUGAGUGCCCAGAACCUCACAGAGCACCAAGCUCUCCCUCCACACACUGCGCUUCUCUUGCAUAUACCAGGUGCUUGUCAUACCCCCAUGGCUGUGACUUUGUUAGAGAUGUGACAGCAAAACCAGCACGACUUUGUUUCCUUCGAGAUUGUACAGAAGAGUCUAGAUCAUGGCAACCUCAGACUGUCUGAUUUCCCUGAAGGAGACGUCCUGCUCUCCCUCCCGUGGGCAGCACCUUGCUGAGCUUCUGCAUGGCUGGAGCCUCCCUGCUGAGCUUCAGAGCCCACGCGUACCUGCACCGAGGCAGACCCGAGUGCUCCGGGCACUGAGGCACUGAGGCUGAGCAGACUGGGCAGGCCGGCCCGGGGUCUUCACGCUGCUCACUCAGGGGUGUGCGGUUUAGAACUCACAGGUCAUUUAUUUUAGGAAUAUUCUAGUCAGUGUUUUCAGACUGACGUCAACCGUGGGUAACUGAAACCGUGGAUGAGGGGGAACUGCUAUAUCUUACAAAUGAGAAAAUUUGAGGUUGACAUUAAGUAAUCUGCUCAAAGCAGUGGAGCUGAGAUUUGAUAACUGCAUCUACCUAGCCAUUCCUCUCUAGUUCAGUUCUAUGAAUUCAUAGGAAAAAUUCAUAGGAGAAAUCAUGAAACAAAUAAUUUGCAGCAUAGCCGGGUGCGGUGGCCCACGCCUAUAAUCCCAGUGGUUUGGGAGGCUGAGGCAGGAGGAUCAUGAGUUCAAAGCCAGCCUCAGCAAAAGUGAGGUGCUAAGCAACUCAGUGAGACCCUGUCUCUAAAUAAAAUACAAAAUAGGGGUGGAAUGUGGCUCAGUGGCCAAGUGCCCCUGAGUUCAAUCCCAGCUACCAAAAAAAAAAAAAUCUGAAACAUAUGAUUUAUCUCCACCUUAGGAAUUAGCUAUUACUUUAUCAAAGAUAAUUUUGAUUAAGUUAAAUUAAUUAUUCACCAUCCUUAAAGUGUUGAUAUAAGAUCUUAAACAUCUUCAUCCCUGUUGCCUUUCAGUGUUAGAAAGGGGCGAGAACAAUGUAGAGUAUUGAAUUGUCUGUAGCAUUUUCCGUAAGUUCUGUGCUGUAUUUCAUCACUGAUAAAUGUAAUUUCAGUGAAAUGAACUUUAAAGUACGUUUCUAAUGGUGAGAAAUGUGAUUUGUGGGUGGAAGUGCAGCUCAGUCGCAAAGUACCUACCCAGGGCCCUGGGUUCUGUUCUAGCACCACACAAAAAGAGAAGAGAAGAAAUAUGAAUCUGGUAAUGAUGAGCAUUUCUGGUGAGCAUUAGCAUAUUGUGGGUGGCAUAAUAUUUCCCAUUUCUAUUGUGUUGCAAAAAUAAUAUAAACCAUGCAUUGGAAAAACCCAAAUAGAGAAAUGUUUAUUCCCUAGUUUCACCUAUUGCAUAAGGUGUUUCAGCUUUGCUUUUAUCUUUGUAUGUUAGGCCACAUGCCCGUGAAACCAGUGGAAACUGCCUUCCUUCACCUGGCCCCCAAAUACUCAAGGACCACACUGAGCACACCCACCAGUCAGGUCAUCGGGAAUCUGAAAAACCGAAUGGAGGCCGCUUGUCUGAGUGGCUUAGUAGAGAACAUGCUGAGAGGGCAGCUUUGCCCUUUCACCUCGGUGACAGUUCGCCUGGAAAGAGAGUGAACAGUAGUGAAGUGGCCUCCCUGUCUUCAUCCUGUUCUGCACGUUCCAGGGCUGUCGGCCCAAAGCCGGACGCUGUUCCGCAGCAGACCAGGAUAGAGCCAUGCUACUAUGAGAACUCUCCUUCCACGGGACAUGUGGCUCAGCCAGCCUGCCGAUGUGAUGGUUGCCAGGGGCCAGAACUUCUUUGUCAGCUUCUGCCACCCGCAUUGCCGCCAAAGAAACAUGCUGUUACUAGUGUGCCACAGUCGGAGAGGAGUGAGUCUGUGCCUGACGUCAGACUUUCAGGGGUGAUCAGUGGUCCCCCGAGGCCAAGCGCAGUGUCGGAGCCAGGUUCAGAACUCAGUACACAUGCGGACCACCUGAGAUGCAGAGAGACCCUUCAAGUGAAGAUGCGCACGGGCAGCAGAGCCCCCUGCCUGUUCAACACUGCAGCUUGUGGGUUUCGGGCAAACUCAACUACAGUUGCUGAUGCACUCUGCCAGCCAGAACUGGACUCUAGUUCUCCGUGCCCAAGUGAGACCGUCUCAUUAACUACCUAUUUUUCAGUUGACAGCUGCAUGACUGAUACGUACAGACUGAAAUACCAUCAGAGGCCCAAGCUCUGCUUUCCAGAGAAGACUGGCUCUUGUCACAGCCGUUCACCAACUCAGAGUGAUAGAAGCGUAGGACCUGUCACAUGAUGGCCUUGGCCCACCCUGUCCUUCCACAAGUCCAGCAUGAUGGAGUCCACCAGCUUAUUCUUAGAGGCCAUGAAGAUAUUCCUAGUGACCAAGAAAAUCAAAUCUGUGGCAUUUUAAAAAUCAUAUAUAUACAUACACACACACAAAUGAAUAUAAUGUUAAAAUGUUUUGCUCUAUAAUGAUCAAUUAUUGGGUAUUUUGGAAAUUCACUUUGAAUAUCGUGGCAUGCCUUGAAAAAUAGCAAGUCAGGGAAUAUAUAAUACUAUUUGCCAUAUAUAACAGUUGAAUAAAAAUUAGAUUUGUCCCCGUCUAACAUGGCUAGUAGACCCAUAGUAUCAAACUGACCAGUUCCACGGGAACUGCCCGUCUGCAUGCCAGCAGCACAUGGGUUGUCAGGUCAAAGCAGAGUCUGCCUUUAAGAGCACUUUUUGAUGGUAGCCUAAAGGUUUCAUCAGUUUGUUCCCGAUUUCUUCCACGCCUGGGCCCUUCAAGUGUCUUAAAAAAAAAAAAAAAUGACCUUGAGUUUUGUAGAAUCUUGGGGAAAAUUGCCUUAAUGAUUAACACUUUUUAAAAUUUCAAGGUCAGGACUAAUUUUUCUCCUAGAACAUAUAUCUUCAGAGUAUCUGGCUAACGUAAAUAGGCCUUUAACCAUUAUAUGUGUUCGUAAAUAUUAGCCACGAGCUGAGAAGUCAAAAGUGUGAACUUAAGUAUAUUUAUUUAUCUUGUUACUUUUUUUUUUUUUUCUUUCUGAUUUUACGUGAAAUGUGAAAGACUUUUAUUUUGGUUACAUUUGCUUUGGGCUGCUAAUAACCAAUGUUAGGAAUUAACCUUGAGUCCUCUUAAUUGGGACUGUCAAACUGCCCAGGUUCUCUCUGCUCCAGUCUUACACUCCUAGGUUGUCAACUCAUUUUACUACGCAGGCUUCCAGGUUAACGUUGUCUUCCAUAUAGAGGGUUUAAUUUUAAUGAAAUGGGUAUCUAAUUUGGGCACCCUUCCAAAAAUUUUUUCUUUCUCAGAUCAUUUUACCCCGGCUACCUUCAUGGAAAGGGCUUUCUUUAAAACUCAUAGGGAUUUUCAUAUGGUGAACUUAGGAGCGAGAACAACUCCCUUAUCUCCUUAGUUGUCAGUUUAUUUUAUACUAAGCUGAUAACCUGAUUGGGAUUGAGAAUAGUUUUACAGUGUCUAUUCCAGAGAAUUGAGAAUUUAUGAUUCAGUAAACUAAUAAGUUUAAUAUCUUGGCCAAUUCCAUAAAUUGUGUUAAAUUUUUCCAAAAUGUUAAGUGGUUAAAAUGAAUACUUUUAGAUAAUUGAUUAUAAAAGCUAACCCUAGCCCUUUGACUUUGGCCACCAAGACUGUCUUCUGCCUAUAGAGAACUUCUCACCAUCCUUUUUUACCUUUUUAUAUGCUCUCAAUUUAGAAAUAGUUGAAUAUCAACUCAAAUUUUUAUCAUCUUUUAAGAAAACUUUUAAGUUUUUAUAAUGGAAGGUUUGUAAGUAAUGUAAGGUUUAUAGAACUGUAUCUGAAAUGUCAGUGUUUUUCAUUGCUGCUCUGAUAAUGUAAAGUACUAAAGAUGGGGGCUUCAAGUAUUUUUUAAUAGCUUUCAAAAACUGUGUGGGCUCGUAUUAACUUCUAUUUGGUCAAGAUGUUCAGUUUGAAAUAUAUUAACUGAAACAUUUACACUAAUUUCUGAUUUUAUAAGUUAAAUGUACCUUUUCAACAUCCGGUUUAGUUGCAAACAUUAAAUAGCAGUAUCCAAUUUUGCCUUUUAACCUACUAUUCAUUUUUUAAGAAACUUCCCCAUUUGGUACUAAACAAAUCAGAAACCAUUUGGUUUUGUUGAUUCAGCACUCCAAGUAGAUUCAAAACAUACAUACUAUCUAAUCAUUCCCCUGUAAAGUCUCUACUUCUGAGGUGCCUGUUAAUAUUUUUAUAUUUUCAUGUUAUAACUUUUUAUAAUACAGGCAAGCAUUAUUGAAAUGUUUAAAAUACUUGUCUUCAGAAUUAUAUUUUCAUGUAAAAUCAUUUUCUUUUGGUUCAAAAGUUUUUAAGAUAAAGUGUUUUAAGUUAACA